CAAAAGUUUAUCAAUGAAACAUAUUUUUGUUUGUACAGCUUCCUUCUCUUUCUGAUGCAACCACAAAUGAGGUUAAGGAGCCAAGACUCAUUCAUACGUUCACAUGAAUCAGUUCAAUAAAUGAAUUUUUUUGUAAUAUCUAGUUGAAACCAACUCUUUGAAAGAAUGGGGGCUUCUACUGAUGUGAGAAAAGGAAUAAAGGAGAUCAUUUGAAACACUAGAGGCUAGUGUUUGGGGAGGGACUUCUUCAGAAAGCUUUAGUGAGAGACCAGGCACAAUGGCUCAUGCCUGUAAUCCCAGCACUUUGGGAGGACGAAGCGGGCAGACCACCGGAGGUCAGGAGCUAGAGACCAGCCUAGCCAACAUGGUGAAACCCAUCUCUACUAAAAAUACAAAAAAAUAGCUGGGCGUAGUUGCACACACUUGUAAUCCCAGCUACUCGGGAGACUGAGGCUGGAGAAUUGCUUGAACCCAGAGGGCGGAGGUUGCAGUGAGCCGAGAUCACGCCACUGUACUCCAGCCUGGGCAACGGAGCAAGACUCCAUCUGAAAAAAAAAAAAAAUUUAGUGAGAGGCUUGAAGUAGCACCAGGGAUCUGAAUACUUACGAGUUGGGAAAAUGGCAUAAAGAAAGUUAGAAAGGGAUUUUUUUUUAAAUACAAAAAAAGCUCUUUUAAAAAAAUUUACAUGUACUUAAGUUGUCCUUCUUGUUAAUAGUAAAGACAUUUGUUGAAAGUCUAGCUCCAGAAGAUAUGUAGUAAAACAUAUAUUAAAAUGAAUGGUGCUAAGUCAUUGUGAGGAUUACCGUGACAAUAACAAAUUUUAUUAUUGUUAGAGUGUGUCCGGAAUUGGUGGGUUCUUGGUCUGACUUCAAGAAUGAAGCCGCGGACCCUCGCGGUGAGUGUUACAGUUCUCAAAGGCAGCGUGUCCGGAGUUUGUUCCUUCUGAUGUUCAGAUGUGUACGGAGUUUCUUCCUUCUGGUGGGUUUGUGGUCUCGCUGGCUCAGGAGUGAAGCUGUGGACCUUCGAGGUGAGUGUUACAGCUCUCAAGGCGGCACGUCUGGAGUUGUUCGUUCCUCCCGGUGGGUUCGUGGUCUCGCUGGCUUCAGGAGUGAAGCUGCAGACCUUCGUGGCGAGUGUUACACCUCAUAAAGGCAGUGUGGACCCAAAGAGUGAGCAGCAGGAAGAUUUAUUGCGAAAGACCACUGCUUCCACCUUUUGGAAGGCAACCAGCGGGUUGCCACUGCUGCUGGGGCAGCCUGCUUUUAUUCUCUUAUCUGGCACCACCCACAUCCUGCUGAUUGGUCCAUUUUACAGAGAGCCCGAGUGGUCUGUUUUGACAGGGUGCUGAUUGGUGCGUUUACAAUCCCUGAGCUAGACACAAAGGUUCCCACCUCCCCACUAGAUUAGCUGGAUACAGAGUGUCCACACAAAGGUUCUCCAAGUCCCCACCAGAGCAGCUAGAUACAGAGUGUGGAUUGGUGCAUUCACAAACCUUGAGUUAGACACAGGGUGCUGAUUGGUGUGUUUACAAACCUUGAGCUAGAUACAGAGUGCCGAUUGGUGUAUUUACAAUCCCCUAACUCCAAGUCCCCACCAGACUCAGGAGCCCAGCUGGCUUCACCCAGUGGAUCCCGCAUCAGGGCCGCGGCGGAGCUGCCUGCCAGUCCCGUGCCGUGCGCCCGCACUCCUUAGCCCUUGGGUGGUCGAUGGGACUGGGCACGGUGGAGCAGGGGGUGGCGCUCGUUGGGGAGGCUCGGGCCGCACAGGAGCCCACGGAGGCAGGAGGAGGCUCAGGCAUGGCCGGCUGCAGGUCCCGAGCCCUGCCCCGCGGGAAGGCAGCUAAGGCCCCGCGAAAAAUUGAGCACAGCAGCUGCUGGCCCAGGUGCUAAGCCUCUCACUGCCCGGGGCCGGCGGGCCGGCCGGUCCGCCGGCCAGCCACUCCGAGUGCGGGGCCCGCCGAGCCCACGCCCACCCGGAACUCGUGCUGGCCCGCAAGCACCGCGCGCAGCCCGGGUUCCCGCCCACGCCUCUCCUCCACACCUCCCAGCAAGCUGAGGGAGCCGGCUCUGGCCUUGGCCAGCCCAGAAAGGGGCUCAGCAGCGGCGGGCUGAAGUUCUCCUCAAGUGCCGCCAAAGUGGGAGCCCAGGCAGAGGAGGCGCCGAGAGCGAGCCAAGGCUGUGAGGACUGCCAGCACGCUGUCACCUCUCAAGAGUAUGAGAGAAAAGGACUUCCAAGAACCCAUUUCCACAGUUAUUGAAUAAGAGUUGAUAGAGCUCCAUACAGAUUAGAACAGAUCCAGGACCAGACACAGUGGCACACACGUACAAUCCCAGCACUUUCGGAGGCAGAGGUGGGUGAUCACUUGAUCGAGACCAGCUUGGGCAACAUGGUUUUAGACUACCUUGUUACAGUCUUUAAGAAUGAAAGUCCAGGCUC
rnacentral:lncRNA from 10 species